GCUGAUUCCACCAGUGACUGAGCACAGACCAGCACCAUGGAGCUGGGGCUGCGCUGGGUUCUCCUUGUUGCUCUGUUGAAAGGUGCCCAGUGUGAAGUGCAGCUGGUGGAGUCUGGGGGAGGCUUGGUGCAGCCUGGGGGGUCCCUGAGACUCUCCUGUACAGCCUCUGGAUUCACCUUCAGUAAUUCCUGGAUGAGCUGGAUCUGCCAGGCUCCAGGGAAGGAACUGGACUGGGUAGAAGAAAUUAAUACAGAUGGUGGUAGCACAUGGUACGCAGACUCUGUGAAGGGCCAGUUCACCCUCUCCAGAGACAACAGUCAAAGCACGCUGUACCUGCAAAUGAGCAGCCUGAGAACCGCGGAUACAACCCUGUAUUACUGUGCAAGGCACAGUGAGAGGAGCCAGUGGGCACCCAGACACACAGGUGCAGCAGACUCGGCCAGCAGGGAGCUGAGCCACCAUCAGCUGCAGGUGUGA